GCUAAUGAGCAGAUUCAGCAGACUGAGUGAUGUCUCCUCCUCCAAAUUGCUCACAUCAGAGGUCACGGUGGCUCUCUCAAGGGCAUCGGCUUUGUGUUCACUGUGUUUGCAUCAGGAUGGAUAGCCUCUAUUUUUCAGCACUUGUCAGUCUGAUCCCAGCAAGGUGCUGAUCACUUUCUGCACGGAACCAAGCACCCACUGACAAAUGAGCCCAGACUGAUGGAGGGUGAAGAGGCAGUUACCAGAACAACUUUGGAAAUCAGCAAGUGCUUCCUCUCCUGGAAAAGAGGAGGUGAAGAAAGAGGUGGGUGUCUGUGAGCCUUACUCUAACCAUAUGCUUGGAGUGGUUGCGAAGACAUCUUUGAGAGGUUUCAGUGGAAGUGUUUCAUACAGAGGGUUUUUUUCUGCUGAAUUUUAUGUCAAGUAAAAGUCUGUCCUUAAAGAAACUCUGAGUCUCCCGAGGAAUCCUCGCUGUGACGGGGAACAGAUGAGUCCUCACAAGAAGCUGUUCUGAAAGAGUAUACUGGAAUCUCAGGUUGAUAGAUAUUUAAACCCACAUGAAAAAGAGAACAAAAGACGUUGCUCUUGGCUACCUUAAGAAAAAUGUGGAGGUUGUGGAAGCAAUUGAUAAGUGGAAAGGGGCUUGAACACAUCUUCUGUCAUCUAAUUCUUGCUCACUACAGGAAAGUGGGAGUUUGUUCAUUCUUUGAACAGAAAUUACUGCUCAAGAGAUGCCUUACUUCUCAUCCUAACUGAAACAACAUCCAGAACACCUCAGGUCAUGAACUGGUAUUUUAUAAGUACAGAUACUUCCCUCUCCUCAUGUGGCUGAUGUUCUACCUCCAACAGGAGAAAUCUGAAAGGGUAAAUAAGCAUCUUGUCAGUGUGAUGGAGACAUGUAGCUUGUGGUGUGAAGUAGAUGGGAAGAAGGUCAUAAAUCAGUUUGGAAAACCAACACAAACAACCAACAUCAUCUCAGUUCCAGAGAAGAGCUUUAUAUAAUUAAGUACCUCCAGUUGCCUUCACUUCAGCGCUAAAUGCAUGUGAUAGUCGUAGUUUCUAUCUGGAAAGGAACGUCCAUUUGUGCUGCCAUUUGGGUAUUUAGCGUAAAAAACCUAUCUAAUGUCUAGAAUUAAUCUAUUUUUAAAUACUUUCAAUCAGUAGAAUUAUUUCCGUUUUGCUUCCUUGCCAUGUAGACCUCUCUAAUCAAGUAAAAUCAAUGAAUGCAAUAAACUGAGAC
rnacentral:lncRNA from 7 species